rnacentral:rRNA from 1 species
GACGAACGCUGGCGGCGUGCUUAACACAUGCCAGUCGAACGGAAAGGCCCUGCUUGCCGGGUACUCGAGUGGCGAACGGGUGAGUAACACGUGGGUGAUCUGCCCUGCACUUCGGGAUAAGCUUGGGAAACUGGGUCUAAUACCGGAUAGGAGCCAUCUUUAGUGUGGUGGUUGGAAAGUUUUUUCGGUGUAGGAUGAGCUCGCGGCCUAUCAGCUUGUUGGUGGGGUAAUGGCCUACCAAGGCGGCGACGGGUAGCCGGCCUGAGAGGGUGUACGGCCACAUUGGGACUGAGAUACGGCCCAGACUCCUACGGGAGGCAGCAGUGGGGAAUAUUGCACAAUGUGCGCAAGCCUGAUGCAGCGACGCCGCGUGGGGGAUGAAGGCCUUCGGGUUGUAAACUCCUUUCGCUAGGGACGAAGCUUUGUUGUGACGGUACCUAGAGAAGAAGCACCGGCUAACUACGUG